rnacentral:rRNA from 1 species
UGCCAGCCGCCGCGGUAAUACGGAAGGUGCAAGCGUUAAUCGGAAUUACUGGGCGUAAAGCGCGCGUAGGUGGUUUGUUAAGUUGGAUGUGAAAGCCCUGGGCUCAACCUAGGAACUGCAUCCAAAACUGACUGACUAGAGUACGAUAGAGGGAGGUAGAAUUCAUAGUGUAGCGGUGGAAUGCGUAGAUAUUAUGAAGAAUACCAGUGGCGAAGGCGGCCUCCUGGAUCUGUACUGACACUGACGCUCAUGGACGAAAGCCAGGGGAGCGAAAGGGAUUAGAUA